AACGGCCGCGGGACCCUACACCGUGCAAAGGUAGCAUAAUCACUUGUCAUCUAAAUAAUGACUAGUAUGAAUGGCCCUAUGAGGACUUCCCUGUCUCUUGUAACCGAUCGAUGAAACUGAUCUUCCAGUCCAAAAGCUGGAAUACUACCACAAGACGAAAAGACCCUGUGGAACUUCUAAGUGCUAAUCAACAAUAUGAUACAACCACUUUUAGUUGGGGCAACUUUGGAACAAAACAAAACUUCCAAUUACAUAACACCCGAUUAACUAAAAAUUAGGUCCACACACCAACCUUUUAGCCCACCAUCGACCCAGUACCACUGAUAAAAGAAACAAGCUACCCCAGGGAUAACAGCGCCAUCCCCUCUUAGAGUCCAAAUCGACGAGCGGGGCUUACGACCUCGAUGUUGGAUCAGGGCCCCCAAACAGUGCAGCAGCUGUUAAAGGUUUGUUUGUUCAACAAUUAAUG
rnacentral:rRNA from 1 species